rnacentral:rRNA from 1 species
UACGAAGGGGCUAGCGUUGUUCGGAAUUACUGGGCGUAAAGGGCUCGUAGGCGGCCAACUAAGUCAGACGUGAAAUCCCCAGGCUCAACCUGGGAACUGCGUCUGAUACUGGAUGGCUUGAAUUCGGGAGAGGGAUGCAGCAUUCCAGGUGUAGCGGUGAAAUGCGUAGAUAUCUGGAGGAAUACCGGUGGCGAAGGCGGCAUCCUGGACCGACAUUGACGCUGAUGAGCGAAAGCUAGGGGAGCGAACGGG